CAUGUGAGGGAAAGUAGGAACCUUGACAGGAAAUCUGUGCGGUUUCUUGACUGUGCUGAAAGGUCUCCCUUCAACAUACAACAAAGAUCUGCAAGAAGACAAGUUGAAGAUGUUUGAAACGGCCUCAAUCAUGAAAGGGCUUCUUCAGGUAGCUGCUGGUGCGGUGGAGACAAUGGAGGUGGAUGCAGCAGCUUGUCAAAGGGGAUUGACUGAAGAGAUGCUUGCAACUGACAUAGCAUACUACUUAGUCAAGAAGGGAGUAAGUGUGUAAAGUUUUAAAUGUUUGCAAUUGAAAGUAGUCUAUGUAAAUGUUUUCAACAAGUGAUAUGCUAAUACUUUUCUAUUUUUUGGUGUCGAUUUUAGCAUUUGAUUAACGCUUGUUUUUUUUCAGCAGAGGUAGAAAUAACUUUUAAUGUGUGGCAUAAAUAUAAGUCAUUCAUUGUAAAU